rnacentral:rRNA from 1 species
GACAGAGGGUGCAAACGUUGUUCGGAAUUACUGGGCGUAAAGCGCGUGUAGGCGGCUAUGUAAGUCGGGCGUGAAAUCCCACGGCUCAACCGUGGAAGUGCACUCGAAACUGCAUAGCUAGAGUCCUGGAGAGGAAGGUGGAAUGCUUGGUGUAGAGGUGAAAUUCGUAGAUAUCAAGCGGAACACCAGUGGCGAAGGCGGUUGCCUGGAGCUUUGCUGACGCUGAGGCGCGAAAGCGUGGGGAGCGAUCCGG